UUUAACUAAAAUCGUGAUCACCUAAGUUAGUAGAUCACAAGGCAAAGGAAUUGAAUCUUCAAGCGGACGAGCCGGAGUUGAUGCGCGCUUGAAGGAAAAGCACUAAAGGAAAUGCAGGUGAUGAUGGGGUCUUUCCGGAUGGCGAUCAAGCAUGUUUUGAAGAACCGAACACGAACUUUUGAAGCUUCCGCGUUAAUUUAACUUUGUUUAGACAAUGUUUAUGAUGUAAUCAAUUCACUAAUCCUGUUUGAAUGUUUAAACUAGUUGGUAUUUAACUAGUAUGUGAUCAUUUUAAAACUUUGGUUUU
rnacentral:lncRNA from 1 species